rnacentral:rRNA from 1 species
UAGGGAAUCUUCCGCAAUGGGCGAAAGCUUGACGGAGCAACGCCGCGUGAGUGAUGAAGGUCUUCGGAUCGUAAAACUCUGUUAUUAGGGAAGAACAAAUGUGUAAGUAACUAUGCACGUCUUGACGGUACCUAAUCAGAAAGCCACGGCUAACUACGUGCCAGCAGCCGCGGUAAUACGUAGGUGGCAAGCGUUAUCCGGAAUUACUGGGCGUAAAGCGCGCGUAGGCGGUUUUUUAAGUCUGAUGUGAAAGCCCACGGCUCAACCGUGGAGGGUCAUUGGAAACUGGAAAACUUGAGUGCAGAAGAGGAAAGUGGAAUUCCAUGUGUAGCGGUGAAAUGCGCAGAGAUAUGGAGGAACACCAGUGGCGAAGGCGACUUUCUGGUCUGUAACUGACGCUGAUGUGCGAAAGCGUGGGGAUCAAACAGG